GUGGAUUAGAUACCCUGGUAGUCCACGCCGUAAACGAUGAUAACUAGCUGUUGGGGCUCUUGGAGCUCCGGUGGCGCAGCUAACGCAUUAAGUUAUCCGCCUGGGGAGUACGGCCGCAAGGUUAAAACUCAAAGGAAUUGACGGGGGCCUGCACAAGCGGUGGAGCAUGUGGUUUAAUUCGAAGCAACGCGCAGAACCUUACCAGCGUUUGACAUCGCAGGACGGUUUCCAGAGAUGGAUUCCUUCUCGCAAGAGACUUGCAGACAGGUGCUGCACGGCCGUCGACAGCU
rnacentral:rRNA from 1 species